GAUGAACGCUGGCGGCGUGCCUAAUACAUGCAAGUCGAGCGAACGGACGAGAAGCUUGCUUUUCUGAUGUUAGCGGCGGACGGGUGAGUAACACGUGGAUAACCUACCUAUAAGACUGGGAUAACUUCGGGAAACCGGAGCUAAUACCGGAUAAUAUUUUGAACCGCAUGGUUCAAAAGUGAAAGACGGUCUUGCUGUCACUUAUAGAUGGAUCCGCGCUGCAUUAGCUAGUUGGUAAGGUAACGGCUUACCAAGGCAACGAUGCAUAGCCGACCUGAGAGGGGGAUCGGCCACACUGGAACUGAGACACGGUCAAGACUACUACGGGAGGCAGCAGUAGGGAAUCUUCCGCAAUGGGCGAAAGCCUGACGGAGCAACGCCGCGUGAGUGAUGAAGGUCUUCGGAUCGUAAAACUCUGUUAUUAGGGAAGAACAGAUGUGUAAGUAACUGUGCACAGCUUGACGGUACCUAAUCAGAAAGCCACGGCUAACUACGUG
rnacentral:rRNA from 1 species